rnacentral:rRNA from 1 species
ACCUGACUGCUAUCGGAUUGAUACUAAGCCAUGCGAGUCAUUGUAGCAAUACAAGGCAUACGGCUCAGUAACGCGUAGUCAACCUAACCUAUGGACGGGAAUAACCUCGGGAAACUGAGAAUAAUGCCCGAUAGAACAUUAUGCCUGGAAUGGUUUAUGUUCCAAAUGAUUUAUCGCCAUAGGAUGGGACUGCGGCCUAUCAGUUUGUUGGUGAGGUAAUGGCCCACCAAGACUAUUACAGGUACGGGCUCUGAGAGGAGUAGCCCGGAGAUGGGUACUGAGACACGGACCCAGGCCCUAUGGGGCGCAGCAGGCGAGAAAACUUUGCAAUGUGCGAAAGCACGACAAGGUUAAUCCGAGUGGUUCCUGCUAAAGGAACCUUUUGUUAGUCCUAGAACCACUAACGAAUAAGGGGUGGGCAAGUUCUGGUGUCAGCCGCCGCGGUAAAACCAGCACCUCAAGUGGUCAGGAUGAUUAUUGGGCCUAAAGCAUCCGUAGCCGGCUCUGUAAGUUUUCGGUUAAAUCUGUACGCUCAACGUACAGGCUGCCGGGAAUACUGCAGAACUAGGGAGUGGGAGAGGUAGACGGUACUCGGUAGGAAGUGGUAAAAUGCUUUGAUCUAUCGAUGACCACCUGUGGCGAAGGCGGUCUACCAGAACACGUCCGACGGUGAGGGAUGAAAGCUGGGGGAGCAAACCGGAUUAGAUACCCGGGUAGUCCCAGCUGUAAACUAUGCAAACUCAGUGAUGCAUUGGCUUGUGGCCAAUGCAGUGCUGCAGGGAAGCCGUUAAGUUUGCCGCCUGGGAAGUACGUACGCAAGUAUGAAACUUAAAGGAAUUGGCGGGGGAGCACCACAAGGGGUGAAGCCUGCGGUUC